rnacentral:rRNA from 1 species
GAUGAACGCUGGCGGCGUGCCUAAUACAUGCAAGUCGAGCGAAUCAAUGGGAGCUUGCUCCCUGAGAUUAGCGGCGGACGGGUGAGUAACACGUGGGUAACCUGCCUGUAAGACUGGGAUAACUUCGGGAAACCGGAGCUAAUACCGGAUACGUUCUUUUCUCGCAUGAGAAGAGAUGGAAAGAUGGUUUCGGCUAUCACUUACAGAUGGACCCGCGGCGCAUUAGCUAGUUGGUGAGGUAACGGCUCACCAAGGCGACGAUGCGUAGCCGACCUGAGAGGGGGAUCGGCCACGCUGGGACUGAGACACGGCCCAGACUCCUACGGGAGGCAGCAGUAGGGAAUCUUCCGCAAUGGACGAAAGUCUGACGGAGCAACGCCGCGUGAGCGAAGAAGGCCUUCGGGUCGUAAAGCUCUGUUGUUAGGGAAGAACAAGUACAAGAGUAACUGCUUGUACCUUGACGGUACCUAACCAGAAAGCCACGGCUAACUACGUGCCAGCAGCCGCCGUAA